UGUUCCUACGGGGGGCAGCAGUGAGGAAUAUUGGUCAAUGGCCGAGAGGCUGAACCAGCCAAGUCGCGUGAGGGAUGACGGCCCUACGGGUUGUAAACCUCUUUUGUCGGGGAGCAAGACCCGCCACGAGUGGCGGAGCGAGAGUACCCGAAGAAAAAGCAUCGGCUAACUCCGUGCCAGCAGCCGCGGUAAUACGGAGGAUGCGAGCGUUAUCCGGGUUUAUUGGGUUUAAAGGGUGCGUAGGCGGACAGUCAAGUCAGCGGUAAAAAUGCGGUGCUCAACGCCGUACAGCCGUUGAAACUGGG
rnacentral:rRNA from 1 species